CAAUACAUAACAUAAUAAUUAAUUGAUCACAACAAUAAUUUAGAAAUCCGGUAGGCCGUUUUCAGAUUUAGCACUAUUCGGAAAAAAAUUAGGAUAUGAUUCCGAGAAUUGUUGCGAUUGUGGUUGUGAUUGCGGUUGUGACUGCGGUUGUGAUUGUCGAUUUCUUUUUUCAAGUAUUCGUUGUUGUUCUCGUUGCAGGUAAU
rnacentral:lncRNA from 1 species